GUGCUUGCUUCAGCAGCACAUACACUAAAAUUGGAACGAUACAGAUAAGAUUAGCAUGGCCCCUGCACAAGGGUGACACGCAAAUUCGUGAAGUGUUCCAUAUUUUU
rnacentral:snRNA from 1 species